GGAAGAGUGGCCGAGUGGUUUAAGGCGGCGGUCUUGAAAACCGUUGAGCGAAAGCUCCGUGGGUUCGAAUCCUACCUCUUCCGCCA
rnacentral:tRNA from 2 species